CAUUGUCAUUAGUCAUCCAUUGAUUAUAAAAAUUGUAAAAACACAUCAAUUUCAAAGACUGAAAAAUAUCAAAAAAUUAGGCUAUAUAUAUCACACCAUGCCAAAAGCAAAUAAUUAUUCAAGAC